rfam:Hordeum vulgare subsp. vulgare, WGS project CAJW01000000 data, contig: morex_contig_159055
GUAUUACUCCCUCCGUCCGGAAAUAUUUGUUAUUGGAAUGGAUGUAUCUAGAUGUAUUUUAGUUUCAGAUACGUUCAUUUUUAUACAGUUAUGGGAUAAAUAAUUUCGGACGAAGGGAGUAUUAU